rnacentral:tmRNA from 1 species
GGGGGCGUAAAGGUUUCGACGGGGAUCUUGAGGCUUUGUAAGCGAGCAGAAGCGUGCGACUUCUUUAAAACGCAUAAUUUUUAAAAAUAAACGCUAACAAUAAUUUAGCUAUCGCUGCCUAAUUGAUGGCGGCCGUCAUACCGAAGAGUACUGCGGCUUCGGUCAUGGCGUCACUUAGCAGUGCACAUGAACACGGUCAAGCUUUGCCCCGUGUCAGGUAUUAAUGAAGCUACCACUGUUUUCAGCGCGACGGUUCGCAGUUAACAGCGGGAAAUCAAUAAGCCGUAUACGCUCGUAGAAAGCGGAGCGGAUGGGUUUUCGGACAGGGGUUCGAUUCCCCUCGCCUCCACCA